CGCACGCACACGCACACACACCUGAUUUUCAUUUAAAGAAAUCGAUACAAUCGUGUUUUCUCAGAAAUAAGCUUACAACAUUUGCCUGGAAUAUUUCUUGUGUCUAUUCUUACCAAAGUAACUUUAAUUUUUAUUUAAACAGCUUCAGAGUAAAUAGUCUUGGAAAAUAUUGAUAUAUGACGUAUGAAUAAUCUAAGAGAAAGAAAGAGAGAGGGAUGAAAGGUGAGAGAGGAAAAGGAGAAUAUGCAAGCAAGCGCAAUUAAUUCGACUGAUCUCCAGUUACUGGUGCUGUAUAUGUGUGUGCAUAUUACGAUAUAUCCAUACGUAAUGAACAAGGCAGGGCAAAACAAGAGGCAAA